rnacentral:rRNA from 1 species
CCCCUCGAGAGUGGCGAACGGGUGAGUAAUAUAUCGGAACGUGCCCAGUCGUGGGGGAUAACGUAGCGAAAGUUACGCUAAUACCGCAUACGAUCUAAGGAUGAAAGCGGGGGAUCGCAAGACCUCGCGCGAUUGGAGCGGCCGAUAUCAGAUUAGGUAGUUGGUGGGGUAAAGGCUCACCAAGCCAACGAUCUGUAGCUGGUCUGAGAGGACGACCAGCCACACUGGAACUGAGACACGGUCCAGACUCCUACGGGAGGCAGCAGUGGGGAAUUUUGGACAAUGGACGCAAGUCUGAUCCAGCCAUUCCGCGUGCAGGAUGAAGGCCCUCGGGUUGUAAACUGCUUUUGUACGGAACGAAAAGGUUUCUAUUAAUACUAGGAGCUCAUGACGGUACCGUAAGAAUAAGCACCGGCUAACUACGUGCCAGCAGCCGCGGUAAUACGUAGGGUGCAAGCGUUAAUCGGAAUUACUGGGCGUAAAGCGUGCGCAGGCGGUUAUAUAAGACAGAUGUGAAAUCCCCGGGCUCAACCUGGGAACUGCAUUUGUGACUGUAUAGCUAGAGUACGGUAGAGGGGGAUGGAAUUCCGCGUGUAGCAGUGAAAUGCGUAGAUAUGCGGAGGAACACCGAUGGCGAAGGCAAUCCCCUGGACCUGUACUGACGCUCAUGCACGAAAGCGUGGGGAGCAAACAGGAUUAG